CUCAUCCAUCUCAAGGGACCUGAAGACUUCCAGCUAAAAAGAGCUGAAUGUUUUAACAAUAGUAUUGUAAGCUUAUUGGAACCUGAAACAAAGCAGGAGGUCUGCUACUCUGGCCUUUAUGCUUAUUGUGAACAAAAGAGCUGUUAGGAUGAGAUCACUUUCCUGAAGGAGGCAAUCCAGCUCAACUAGGAGUUCCUGAUCUCAGUAAAGAACUACUGGGUGAAUUUUUACGUCCACAGCUCAGUGUUUGCAGGAGUUUGUCACCAAAUGAGAAGCUGGGGCACAGAAAGGUAGUAAGUUUCCCUCAUCACCUGCUGACCUGAAGUACUGAGUAAUAGCCUCAAAUGGCACUAGUUCCAGGGUAUGAAAUUCUGCUGUGUUAAAAACCAGUAUGAAGACCUCAGCACC